AUGAACGCUUGCGGCGUGCCUAAUCCAUGCAAGUCGAGCGAACAGACGAGGAGCUUGCUCCUCUGACGUUAGCGGCGGACGGGUGAGUAACACGUGGAUAACCUACCUAUAAGACUGGGAUAACUUCGGGAAACCGGAGCUAAUACCGGAUAAUAUAUUGAACCGCAUGGUUCAAUAGUGAAAGACGGUUUUGCUGUCACUUAUAGAUGGAUCCGCGCCGCAUUAGCUAGUUGGUAAGGUAACGGCUUACCAAGGCAACGAUGCGUAGCCGACCUGAGAGGGUGAUCGGCCACACUGGAACUGAGACACGGUCCAGACUCCUACGGGAGGCAGCAGUAGGGAAUCUUCCGCAAUGGGCGAAAGCCUGACGGAGCAACGCCGCGUGAGUGAUGAAGGUCUUCGGAUCGUAAAACUCUGUUAUUAGGGAAGAACAAAUGUGUAAGUAACUAUGCACGUCUUGACGGUACCUAAUCAGAAAGCCACGGCUAACUACGUG
rnacentral:rRNA from 1 species